GAUGAACGCUGGCGGCGUGCCUAAUACAUGCAAGUCGAGCGAACGGACGAGAAGCUUGCUUCUCUGAUGUUAGCGGCGGACGGGUGAGUAACACGUGGAUAACCUACCUAUAAGACUGGGAUAACUUCGGGAAACCGGAGCUAAUACCGGAUGAUAUUUUGAACCGCAUGGUUCAAAAGUGAAAGACGGUCUUGCUGUCACUUAUAGAUGGAUCCGCGCUGCAUUAGCUAGUUGGUAAGGUAACGGCUUACCAAGGCAACGAUGCAUAGCCGACCUGAGAGGGUGAUCGGCCACACUGGAACUGAGACACGGUCCAGACUCCUACGGGAGGCAGCAGUAGGGAAUCUUCCGCAAUGGGCGAAAGCCUGACGGAGCAACGCCGCGUGAGUGAUGAAGGUCUUCGGAUCGUAAAACUCUGUUAUUAGGGAAGAACAUAUGUGUAAGUAACUGUGCACAUCUUGACGGUACCUAAUCAGAAAGCCACGGCUAACUACGUGCCAGCAGCCGCGGUAAUACGUAGGUGGCAAGCGUUAUCCGGAAUUAUUGGGCGUAAAGCGCGCGUAGGCGGUUUUUUAAGUCUGAUGUGAAAGCCCACGGCUCAACCGUGGAGGGUCAUUGGAAACUGGAAAACUUGAGUGCAGAAGAGGAAAGUGGAAUUCCAUGUGUAGCGGUGAAAUGCGCAGAGAUAUGGAGGAACACCAGUGGCGAAGGCGACUUUCUGGUCUGUAACUGACGCUGAUGUGCGAAAGCGUGGGGAUCAAACAGG
rnacentral:rRNA from 1 species